UACAGAGGUCUCAAGCGUUGUUCGGAUUCAUUGGGCGUAAAGGGUGCGUAGGCGGCGCGGUAAGUCGGGUGUGAAAUCUCGGAGCUUAACUCCGAAACUGCAUUCGAUACUGCCGUGCUUGAGGACUGGAGAGGAGACUGGAAUUUACGGUGUAGCGGUGAAAUGCGUUGAUAUCUACAGGAACUCCGGUGGCGAAAGCGGCGUGCUGGACCUUUUCUGACGCUGAGGCGCGAAAGCUAGGGGAGCAAACGGGG
rnacentral:rRNA from 1 species